rnacentral:rRNA from 1 species
AGAGUUUGAUUCUGGCUCAGAACGAACGCUGGCGGCGUGGAUAAGACAUGCAAGUCGAACGAGAGAAUUGCUAGCUUGCUAAUAAUUCUCUAGUGGCGCACGGGUGAGUAACACGUGAGUAACCUGCCCCCGAGAGCGGGAUAGCCCUGGGAAACUGGGAUUAAUACCGCAUAGUAUCGAAAGAUUAAAGCAGCAAUGCGCUUGGGGAUGGGCUCGCGGCCUAUUAGUUAGUUGGUGAGGUAACGGCUCACCAAGGCGAUGACGGGUAGCCGGUCUGAGAGGAUGUCCGGCCACACUGGAACUGAGACACGGUCCAGACACCUACGGGUGGCAGCAGUCGAGAAUCAUUCACAAUGGGGGAAACCCUGAUGGUGUGACGCCGCGUGGGGGAAUGAAGGUCUUCGGAUUGUAAACCCCUGUCAUGUGGGAGCAAAUUAAAAAGAUAGUACCACAAGAGGAAGAGACGGCUAACUCUGUGCCAGCAGCCGCGGUAAUACAGAGGUCUCAAGCGUUGUUCGGAAUCACUGGGCGUAAAGCGUGCGUAGGCUGUUUCGUAAGUCGUGUGUGAAAGGCGCGGGCUCAACCCGCGGACGGCACAUGAUACUGCGAGACUAGAGUAAUGGAGGGGGAACCGGAAUUCUCGGUGUAGCAGUGAAAUGCGUAGAUAUCGAGAGGAACACUCGUGGCGAAGGCGGGUUCCUGGACAUUAACUGACGCUGAGGCACGAAGGCCAGGGGAGCGAAAGGGAUUAGAUACCCCUGUAGUCCUGGCAGUAAACGGUGCACGCUUGGUGUGCGGGGAAUCGACCCCCUGCGUGCCGGAGCUAACGCGUUAAGCGUGCCGCCUGGGGAGUACGGUCGCAAGAUUAAAAC